AUUCGCAUAAAACUUAAAAAUUGCAAUAAUUCUAAAUCUCUAAUUCGGCUAUUUAUAUUUGUUUAAAGGAAAUCAAAGGAACCGGAUGGAAACUUAAGCGGAAAAAAUGUCUGCAGUCCGCAUAGAUUGUGAACUGCGUGUUUGGAUGUGUUUGUCAAUAGAGUACGUGGUGUAAGACGUUGAACCUAGGAUACAUCCUUGUGCAACGCCAGCUUUAAUUUGCGUGUGGGAUGAAAGAUUCGCUGAAUAUCACUUUAAACCAUCGAUACGAGAACGUCAGGAUGUAGCCGAGGAUAUGUUUCGCUUAAUCUGAAGCACUAAACAGAAGAAUGAAGGGAUCGCAAUCUAAAUUGUUUUUUGGGAAUUAAAUGUUCAAAGUCGAAUAUGGGAAUUAGUCUUUUAAGGAGAGGUUCAAAAAUUUUGGAUAAAAUAAGGAGGCUUAUUGGCCUAUAAGAGGAUGGGGGAUUUUUAUGGUUUUGGUAUUUGGGUUAUUAAAGAAAGUAUCCACUGGCUUGAAAAUUAUGUUGUGCUAAAUAAUGCAUUGUAAAUAGUCUUAAUGUACACUAGCCUUUGUAAACAACCUAGAAAAUUGUCACUCGAUCAAAUUCAGUUAAUUAU